rnacentral:rRNA from 1 species
GUGGGGAAUAUUGGACAAUGGGCGAAAGCCUGAUCCAGCAACGCCGCGUGGAGGAUGAAGGCCUUCGGGUUGUAAACUCCUGUUAGGGGGAACGAAAGGUCGCGGGUUAACAGCCGGCGGCCCUGACGGUACCUCCAGAGGAAGCCCCGGCUAACUCUGUGCCAGCAGCCGCGGUAAUACAGAGGGGGCGAGCGUUAUUCGGAAUUAUUGGGCGUAAAGGGCGCGUAGGCGGCAAGGUAAGUCAAAGGUGAAAUCCCUCGGCUCAACUGAGGAACUGCCUUUGAAACUGCCUAGCUUGAGGCCGGGAGAGGGUAGUGGAAUUCCCAGUGUAGCGGUGAAAUGCGUAGAUACUGGGAGGAACACCAGUGGCGAAGGCGGCUACCUGGACCGGUUCUGACGCUGAUGCGCGAAAGCGUGGGGAGCAAACAGGAUUAGAUACCCCAGUAGUCC